rnacentral:rRNA from 1 species
UACGGGGGGAGCAAGCGUUGUUCGGAUUUACUGGGCGUAAAGGGCGCGUAGGCGGCCACCGCAAGUCGGUUGUGAAAUCUCUGGGCUUAACCCAGAAAGGUCAACCGAUACUGCGGGGCUAGAGUGCAGAAGGGGCAACUGGAAUUCUCGGUGUAGCGGUGAAAUGCGUAGAUAUCUGGAGGAACACCGGUGGCGAAGGCGGCAUCCUGGACCGAGAUUGACGCUGAGGCGCGAAAGCUAGGGGAGCAAACGGG